rnacentral:rRNA from 1 species
UACGGGGGGAGCAAGCGUUGUUCGGAUUUACUGGGCGUAAAGGGCGUGUAGGUGGUAGAGUAAGUCUGGCGUGAAAUUUUUCGGCUUAACCGGGAAAGGUCGUCGGAUACUGCUUAACUAGAGGACGGUAGAGGCGUGUGGAAUUCCGGGUGUAGUGGUGAAAUGCGUAGAGAUCCGGAGGAACACCAGUGGCGAAGGCGACACGCUGGGCCGUACCUGACACUGAUGCGCGACAGCAUGGGGAGCAAACAGG